CAGUAUUUUAAUGAGGACACCUCUGAGUUUCUAUCACCCACUCAGCUCUCUUCUGAUAGGAAGGGAGUUGCAUCGCAGAGCCUUAUCUGAGUUUCCUGCUGAGUGGACAUUCAGAACCAAUUCACACAACGCUUUCGCGAUAUGAGGUGACUUCUGGUGGUUACUGCAUGAUAGAGAUCAAUCUGAAACCUUUUCUUGUCAGGGAAUCCUUAGAAGCAGAAGUGCGAGGGAGAGAGGAGGGCCAGCGAGGCAAACCGGAGGUCACUUUUGCUGGGAAACCCUGGUUUCAUGCAUUCGGACAUACUGGAGUUCCAAAGUCUGCCAGGUUUAACUCUGGUAAAGUAACUAAGUGCUUUGAGAGGUUCAAAUCAUCCACUUUGUACCCAAGCAAGAUUUCAGCCCUACUAAUCAGUAGUGAAACAAACAAACCUCAGAUAACAUCUUUAAAUAAAUAUUCUUCAUGUUUGUU